GUAGGGUUGAUGAAUUUCUCUGGGGGGAAUGGUGUGUGCACUUAACCACAAAAUCCCACUUUGACCUUCAACACAAUUAUAGUUGCCUCAAGAAAACACUAGUUCCCAGGUCUUUCCAAUGUCUGGCUAAAGGGGGGAGAUAUCCAGACAUCUUGUGGUUGCCUGAAUGUUAGAUUUUUAAGAUUUUUAGUCGUACCUGACUGGUACACCAAUGGUUAUUGCCACGCACUGACGC